AGCGAACAGACGAGGAGCUUGCUCCUCUGACGUUAGCGGCGGACGGGUGAGUAACACGUGGAUAACCUACCUAUAAGACUGGGAUAACUUCGGGAAACCGGAGCUAAUACCGGAUAAUAUAUUGAACCGCAUGGUUCAAUAGUGAAAGACGGUUUUGCUGUCACUUAUAGAUGGAUCCGCGCCGCAUUAGCUAGUUGGUAAGGUAACGGCUUACCAAGGCAACGAUGCGUAGCCGACCUGAGAGGGUGAUCGGCCACACUGGAACUGAGACACGGUCCAGACUCCUACGGGAGGCAGCAGUAGGGAAUCUUCCGCAAUGGGCGAAAGCCUGACGGAGCAACGCCGCGUGAGUGAUGAAGGUCUUCGGAUCGUAAAACUCUGUUAUUAGGGAAGAACAAAUGUGUAAGUAACUAUGCACGUCUUGACGGUACCUAAUCAGAAAGCCACGGCUAACUACGUGCCAGCAGCCGCGGUAAUACGUAGGUGGCAAGCGUUAUCCGGAAUUAUUGGGCGUAAAGCGCGCGUAGGCGGUUUUUUAAGUCUGAUGUGAAAGCCCACGGCUCAACCGUGGAGGGUCAUUGGAAACUGGAAAACUUGAGUGCAGAAGAGGAAAGUGGAAUUCCAUGUGUAGCGGUGAAAUGCGCAGAGAUAUGGAGGAACACCAGUGGCGAAGGCGACUUUCUGUCUGUAACUGACGCUGAUGUGCGAAAGCGUGGGGAUCAAACAGGAUUAGAUACCCUGGU
rnacentral:rRNA from 1 species